rnacentral:rRNA from 1 species
UUCCGGUUGAUCCCGCCGGAGGCUACCGCUAUUGGAGUUCGAUUAAGCCAUGCGAGUCGUGAGUCUUAGGGACUCGGCGUACCGCUCAGUAACACGUGGGUAACCUGCCCUAUGCUGGGGGAUAACCUCGGGAAACUGAGAAUAAUACCCCAUAGUUCACCACGCCUGGAACGGUGGGUGGAUGAAAGCUCCGGCGGCAUAGGAUGGGCCUGCGGCGUAUCAGGUUGUAGGGGGUGUAAUGUACCCUCUAGCCAUCUACGCGUACGGGUGUUGGGAGACAUCGCCCGGAGAUGGAUUCUGAGACACGAAUCCAGACCCUACGGGGUGCAGCAGGCGCGAAAACUUGGCAAUGCGAGCAAUCGUGACCAGGGAACUCCAAGUGCAUCGGGUAAGACCGAUGCUUUUCUUGACUCUUCAAAGGUCUUGGAAUAAGGGGUGGGUAAGGACGGUGCCAGCCGCCGCGGUAAUACCGGCGCCUCAAGUGGUAGUCGCUUUUAUUGGGCCUAAAACGUCCGUAGCCGGUUUGGUACAUUCGUGGGUAAAUCAAGGCGCUCAACGUCUUGAAUUCUGCGAGCACGGCCAGACUUGGGACCGGGUGAGGUGUGGGGUACUCUCAGGGUAGGGGUAAAAUCCUGUCAUCCUGAGAGGACCACCUGUUGCGAAGGCGCCACACUAGAACGGAUCCGACGGUCAGGGACGAAGCCUAGGGGCACGAACCGGAUUAGAUACCCGGGUAGUCCUAGGUGUAAACGCUGUGGACUUGAUGUUGGGAGUGCUCCGAGCACCCUCAGUGUCGAAGCGAAGGUGAUAAGUCCACUGCCUGGGGAGUACGGUCGCAAGGCUGAAACUUAAAGGAAUUGGCGGGGGAGCACUGCAACCUGAGGAUUGUGCGGUUUAAUUGGAUUCAACGCCGG